rnacentral:rRNA from 1 species
UACAGAGGGUGCGAGCGUUAAUCGGAAUUACUGGGCGUAAAGCGCGCGUAGGCGGCUUUGCAAGUCGGGUGUGAAAUCCCCAGGCUUAACCUGGGAACUGCAUUCGAGACUGCAUUGCUAGAGUAUGGGAGAGGGAAGUGGAAUUUCCGGUGUAGCGGUGAAAUGCGUAGAUAUCUGAAGGAACAUCAGUGGCGAAAGCGACUUCCUGGACCAAUACUGACGCUCAUGUGCGAAAGCGUGGGGAGCAAACAGG